rnacentral:rRNA from 1 species
AUUGAACGCUGGCGGCAGGCCUAACACAUGCAAGUCGAGCGGAUGAAGGGAGCUUGCUCCUGGAUUCAGCGGCGGACGGGUGAGUAAUGCCUAGGAAUCUGCCUGGUAGUGGGGGAUAACGUCCGUAAACGGGCGCUAAUACCGCAUACGUCCUAAGGGAGAAAGUGGGGGAUCUUCGGACCUCACGCUAUCAGAUGAGCCUAGGUCGGAUUAGCUAGUUGGUGGGGUAAAGGCCUACCAAGGCGACGAUCCGUAACUGGUCUGAGAGGAUGAUCAGUCACACUGGAACUGAGACACGGUCCAGACUCCUACGGGAGGCAGCAGUGGGGAAUAUUGGACAAUGGGCGAAAGCCUGAUCCAGCCAUGCCGCGUGUGUGAAGAAGGUCUUCGGAUUGUAAAGCACUUUAAGUUGGGAGGAAGGGCAGUAAGUUAAUACCUUGCUGUUUUGACGUUACCAACAGAAUAAGCACCGGCUAACUUCGUG